GACGUAGGUGGCGAACGUUAUCCGGAAUCAUUGGGCGUAAAGGGUGCGUAGAUGGCCUGAUAAGUUAGCAGUGGGAAAUCGAGGCUCAACCUCGUGGAAGCUGGUAAUACUGUUAGGCUCGAGUGCAGGAGAAGUUAACGGAACUCCAUGCGGAGCGGUAAAAUGUGUAGAUAUAUGGAAGAACAUCAAUAACGGCGAAGGCAGUUAACUAUUCUGUUACUGACGUUGAGGCACGAAAGCGUGGGGAGCAAAACGG
rnacentral:rRNA from 1 species